AUGGCGUGGAUAAUUGAUAUUGUAGAUCCAAUUUUACAUGGAAACAUCUCUCAUGCAUCAACUGCAAGACAUAUAUGGGAGGAUCUAGAAGGAACCAUGUUGAACACUGAACCUUUGCCUAUGCUACAACGUGUCUUUAAUCACGUCCUCGGAGAAGAGGCCAGGAUCACAAGUGAAAGAGAUGAGAUGGUCACAGUCAGGGGAGAAUCAGGAGGAUAUGCUUUUUAUGCUCCAAAUUAA